GAAGGCGGACGUGGCGUGGGAGGGGGAGCCUGACUGGUAUCAGUCUUCGCUAAUAGCGCGGCGUCCCUUUUGCGCUUCCUGCGGUACCAGCUUGGGCUUCGAGUUUCCCGACAGCGAGAAUAUGGAUCUGACCGUCGCCGCGUUUGACGAUCCCUCGCGCUUCCGCCCGAAGCAUCAUUUCGGAGCGGAGAGCAUGCAUAGGGCCUGGCUCAACACCAAAGGGCUACCGGAAUAUCGUGUGGACGAGUACAAGCCGGUCGUCGACCGCUGGAUGAAGAGCGUUGGCAAGCUACCCGACUGAGCACCGCUUCCGCACGUGGGACGGCGCCGAGCUCACGUGGCACGAGCUGGGGGAGGGGCCUGCAGUGCUCUCGCUCCACGGACUUGUCUCAAGCGCGC
rnacentral:misc_RNA from 1 species